AUGUUCUUUGACUAUAAAGUAGCAGAGAUUUCUUUUCUAUCAAUUCUAAUCCCUUUUUAUGCAUUGCUGGUUUGCUAUCAAACUCUCAAAAAUGGAAAAACAACUUUACUUUGGUUUUUUGAGAACCUUCCUGUAGAGUACCUCGACAGAGACAAAUAUGCGGUCAAGGAUAUAUUCGAUGGAUUUUCAUGCCAAACUUGGAGGAUAUUUUUGCAGAUAGUUUGGUACUCUCGUGGUUAUUUUUGUGGUGAUUUGCCUUCUAUUCAUUACUUGGUAACCAUCUACUGCAGGUCAGCUAUUGUCCAGCUGCUAACCUUAUGGCCUUUCAUUCUCAUUGUGAUUCCCCGAGAUGCGCUAUUAGUAGGCAUCCACUUUCUAAUAAAAAUUUGGAAGUCAACUUGA
rnacentral:rRNA from 1 species